rnacentral:rRNA from 1 species
GAGUUUGAUCCUGGCUCAGGACGAACGCCGGCGGCGUGCCUAAGACAUGCAAGUCGAGCGGGGAGACUUCGGUCUCCCAGCGGCGGACGGGUGAGUAACGCGUGGGCAACCUGCCCUUCAGCCCGGGAUAACUGCCUGAAAGGGCGGCUAAUACCGGAUGCGGUGAAACGGACGCAUGUUGGUUUCACGAAAAUUACGGUGCUGAAGGAUGGGCCCGCGUCCCAUUAGCUGGUUGGUGAGGUAACGGCCCACCAAGGCGACGAUGGGUAGCCGGCCUGAGAGGGUGGACGGCCACACUGGGACUGAGACACGGCCCAGACUCCUACGGGAGGCAGCAGUCGGGAAUCUUCCACAAUGGGCGAAAGCCUGAUGGAGCGACGCCGCGUGAGGGAAGAAGGUCUUCGGAUCGUAAACCUCUGUCCUCAGGGACGAUAAUGACGGUACCUGAGGAGGAAGCCACGGCUAACUACGUGCCAGCAGCCGCGGUAAUACGUAGGUGGCAAGCGUUGUCCGGAAUUACUGGGCGUAAAGGGUGCGUAGGCGGUUCUUUAAGUCUUGUGUGAAAUGCCCCGGCCUAACCGGGGAGCGGCACGGGAAACUGGAGGACUGGAGUGCCGGAGAGGGUCGCGGAAUUCCCGGUGUAGUGGUGAAGUGCGUAGAUAUCGGGAGGAACACCAGUGGCGAAGGCGGCGGCCUGGACGGUAACUGACGCUGAGGCACGAAAGCUGGGGGAGCAAACAGGAUUAGAUACCCUGGUAGUCCCAGCCGUAAACGAUGAGCGCUAGGUGUUGCGGGUAUCGACCCCCGCAGUGCCGGAGUUAACGCAAUAAGCGCUCCG